UGUGUGUGAUAUCAAUAUGCAUUCGAUGUUGAUGCUACUGUAGCCAUCUUGUGGCUAUAUAAACCCAGCAGGCAGCAGCACAGCUUAGCUAGAGAGCCAUAUUGCAUGCACACUCGCUAAUCUCUUUUCUCUACUCUACUUGCAUUACACCACCUCUGCAUUGCACUUCAGUUCAUUCAUUCCACUGAUGCAUGGAUCGAUGUUGCUACCUUCUUCUCUUCUCCUCAUGCAUCCAUGCAUCGAUCUCACCUAGCUUCUUCCUCAUCCUCUCUCGAUCGAUUACAAGAGAAAAGUGUUUGCUGUUCUUGCUAUCGAUCUACAGGUGAGUAGGUUCUUGUUGGAGAAGCAGGGUACGUGCAAAAUGCACACCGGUUGGUCGAGCUAAUUAACAAGCUCUGACGACCAUGGUGAUCGAAUGCACGUGCUCCCCUUCUCCACCAUGGCCUUCUCACCUUCUUCGUCUUCACCAUCUCCACUGAUUGAUCGAUCUCAAACCACAUUAGUUUGCUAAUUAAUUAUAUUGUGCUUGUACAUAAAGCGAGUGAUGAUAUACUAUAAUCUGCAAAGAUAUCUAU
rnacentral:precursor_RNA from 1 species